GAAAUUUUAGAAAUUCAACUAUCCAUAAGAUUAUAAAUAUUCCAAGUAUAGCAUGCUUUUGGGUCCUAGACUACCCGGACAAAAUAGCAUAUUAGUAGCUACGUAUGGACUCUCGUCACCUCGUGCUUACGUAACCCCCACAAAUAGGAGCACAUAACUAAUUAACUUACCUAUGGGGACGAUUUCCUUUUACAAGGUUAGAAAGG
rnacentral:lncRNA from 1 species